CUAGGGAGGACCUGCCCUGGCAAGUGUGACAUAAAGGCCAGCUUGAAUCUUGCUUUGACUUACCAGGACUCCUCACUUCAACUUCUCAGAAUGAGGUUCUCUGCUCAGCUCCUUGGGCUGCUAAUGCUUUGGUUCCCUGGAUCCAGUGGGGAAAUCGUGAUGACACAGAUGCCACUGUCCCUGUCCGUCACCCCUGGAGAGCCGGCCUCCAUCUCCUGCAAGGCCAGUCGGAGUCUCCUGCACAGUAAUGGAAAAACCUAUUUGUACUGGUUCCGGCAGAAGCCAGGCCAGUCUCCAGAGGGCCUGAUCUAUGAGGUUUCCAACCGAUACUCCUGGGUCCCAGACAGGUUCAGUGGCAGCAGGUCAGGGACAGAUUUCACCCUCAAAAUCAGCAGGGUGGAGGCUGACCGAUGUGGGAGUGUAUUACUGCGGGCAAGGUAUACAGUCUCCUCCCACAGCGGAUCCGGCCCGAACACAAACCUCCCCGCCUGGGGGUCCAGGUGCCCCAGUGCAUAGCUUCUCUGGGGACUCACAGGACAUUCCCUGAGUCUGUGUCAGCGGAAGAAGCUGGAGGACCCGGGGGAGCAGCUUGCAGCUGGGCGUCAGGCUGCACGCAUUAGGGCCCCGCCGGCUGCCCAGCCUGGCAUGGCAGAAGCAGCAGGGGAGCGUAGGGGGUCUUGUCCCAUGAGGUGAAAGGAAGAGCUAACAAGGGCUCCCCCACCGAAUCCUGCCGCUCUGUCGCGUUUCUCCAGUAAACGUAGUCGCUCUAGUAACCAGACAAGUGACAUAGGUCUGUGGUGAAAAAUGACCACCUAUGGGAAUGAACACUGUGGGCUAUAUUUCCCACAGGAUCUUAUUUGCUAAUAUUGGUAAUAUUGGUACUUUCUCACUUAACCUUUUUCUACUUCUCUACUACUCACACAAUCCUCUCCGU